GCCUGUGUGGCAUAGUGGUUUGAGUGUUGGACUGUGAAUCUGAAGACUUGGGUUUCUAAUCCCAGCUCUGCCA